rnacentral:rRNA from 1 species
AUUGAACGCUGGCGGAAUGCUUUACACAUGCAAGUCGAACGGCAGCACGGACUUCGGUCUGGUGGCGAGUGGCGAACGGGUGAGUAAUGUAUCGGAACGUGCCCAGUCGUGGGGGCUAACGUAGUGAAAAUUACGCUAAUACCGCAUACGAUCUAUGGAUGAAAGCGGGGGAUCGCAAGACCUCGCGCGAUUGGAGCGGCCGAAAUCAGAUUAGGUAGUUGGUGGGGUAAAGGCCCACCAAGCCAACGAUGUGUAGCUGGUCUGAGAGGACGACCAGCCACCCUGGAACUGAGACACGGUCCAGACUCCUACGGGAGGCAGCAGUGGGGAAUUUUGGACAAUGGGCGAAAGCCUGAUCCAGCCAUUCCGCGUGCAGGAUGAAGGCCCUCGGGUUGUAAACUGCUUUUGUACAGAACGAAAAGGUUUCUACUAAUACUAGGAGCUCAUGACGGUACUGUAAGAAUAAGCACCGGCUAACUACGUGCCAGCCGCCGCGGUAA